rnacentral:lncRNA from 1 species
GUUCUGAGUCUCUUUAAGGACAUCAAUGUAUCAAUUUUUACCUUUUCAUAGAAAAAAAAAAGUUAUUUCCUCCUAUGCAGUUACUACGGUAAAAAAUCAGAUAUUGGUCAAGGACCCCCCAUAUUUGAGAUAUCGGUUAUCGCAGUGGUAUAUCGGUGGGAUAUUGGUAAUUUUCGUAUCAUGCAGAAUUUAUAUAUAUAGCAAUUUAACACUAACAAUUCAGUAUGCUCUCCUACCAUUAACAAAUUAACCUUUUGCAACUUGCAAAACACUUACAACUGUAGCAAGUAAUUAAGACUUAAAACACUAACAAUUAACAAUUAAGACUUAAAACACUAAUAACAACAAUAAGAAGACAGACGAAUGGUAGAACUAAGAAAAAAAGUACCGAUAUCAGAAAAAAUCGGUGUUAUAUUGGUCAAUAUCGCCGAUAAUAUCAGUAACGAUAUUCUGACCGAUAUUUUACAUGGGGAACGAUACAGAAAUAUCGAUGAUACAUCACCAAUAUAGACUGCAUAGCAUAGUUGUUAAAAGCCAUCGCCUCUUGAGCCUAGGCCCAUUUUUCAGGCGAGGCGAGGCAGUUGCGCCUUAAGUCGAGGAAAUUGCGCUUUAAUUCUCCAGGUGAUGGUUCAGGUGCACAUUCCGAUGAGACUCCUAGAUUCCGGAGAGUUUCCGGCCAAAUUCUCUAAAUUCCGGCAAGAUUCUAGCCAAAUCUGUACUUUUAUCUAGGGAAAACUACUUUUCUACACUAAUACACUAAUAAUUUAGAACUUUUGAUACUAAUUACUAAAUAGAUGAUAUAAAGUGGUAUAUAAUAGAUUUUGUUUAUUUUAUUUAAAGAAUAGUAUUCUUUUUCUAAUACAUAAUAUAUAUUUUUUUAUUUUGUUUCAUUAUGCGCUUUAUUUUUCUCAGGCCCUUGCUUUUUUUUGCGCUUUGCGUCUAGGCCCCAGAUGAGGCCUAUGCGCCUUGAGUGCGUCUAGCGCCUUUAAUAACUAUGCUGCAUAGAUUUCCUCACGAUAUUUAUCCUUAUCUACUUUGGCUAUCCUUAUUAGUUCAUUUUCUUGUAUAUCUAAUGUAAGAUUUUGUUCCACAAUAAAAACAUAAGUACGACCAUAGCAGAACGUUAUUUACGAUAACUUAAUAUAAUCAUCGCAUUCCUAUUCCUAACUCUAUAUAUUUCACUAAUUAAGUGUACUUGUUACUUGUUCGGUGAGUGUAGCUAAACAUGCAACAUGAGAAUCCUAUAAGCAUAUUGGUUACAAACUAUUUAUUAAACAAAAGACACUUCAAAUAGCCAUAUGUAACAUGUUUCUUUUAUUGCCAAUGUAUAGCAUCCUCUUUACAGACAAGCACAUAAUGCACAAUAUCGAAAACGACAAAAUUAAAAUGAAGAAUGUAAGGAUUUAUUAAUCACCUCAACACCAUCCCCUCGAUGAUAAUCCAUUGUCAAGGUUUCAGCCGUCCUUUUCCCUUCAUCAUAGCAGCUUCUAACACCUAUAUAAUAUCAUAAACUAUAUGGUUACAACUUACAAGCAUCACAAAAACACAAAAAUAAAAAUGUAAUGUUAACCUAUAGGAUUCACAUGCCCCCAAUAAGUCUCCUUUUGAGGAUGCUCAAGUGGGUCCCCAUAAACCUCACUAGUGCUUGUAAGCAAAAAUCUUGCCCCGAUUCUCUUGGCAAGUCCCAACAUGUUUAAAGUGCCCAUCACGUUCGGGAAGCAGGACAAGCCAAAUGAUAGAUCUGAUCAACCUCCAACAAAAUAGGCUCAACCACAUCAUGCCUAAUUAGCUCAAAUCUAGGGUUCCCAAAAUGAUGCAUAACAUUCUCUUUUCUCCCAGUAAAGAAAUUGUCAAUCACAAUCACAUCAUCCCCUCUAGCAAUCAACUUAUCCACCAAAUGACUACCCACAAACCCAGAUCCACCUGUCACCACCACCCGCCGCCGCUUCCGCCCUAUACUCACCGGUACCCGCCCCACCGCCUGCCGGGUUACUGAUUCUCGACCGGGGAUUGUUAUUGGGGUGUUGUAAAGUGAUGUGAUUUCAUCGGUUGUGGUGAGUGUGGUGAUUGUGGAAAUUGGGGAGAUUGAUGGUUUGAAGAGGACGAAGGUGGAUCCGAUCAAGAUUCCGAUUAGGAUGAAGAGAAGACGUUGUUCUUUGAGAAUGUAAUUGAUGGAUCUUGGGAGGUGUCUGUGGGAAUUGGAGGAUGAGUGUUUGAGGGAUUUGGGGGAGUAUGGUGGGGUUUCAGUGGUGGGUGUGGGUGUUUCUUCAUCUCUUCUUUGGUGUAAUUGCUUCAUGUUGUUGAUGAUUGUUGGGUUGGGGGAUUAAUGAACAUGAGAGGGAGGGAGGGGGAUCUGGAGAUUUGUGGGUUUUGAGGAUCUGUAAUGAUGU